UUUAAAAUAUUAUAUUUUUGAUAUGUGUGUGUAUUUUUGCAGUGUGGACAGUGCACUUCUUGCAGCGUGGUGAGGAGUAAACAGUCCGGAGCAGCAGCAGCAGGAGUCACAGAGACAUCACCAGCUGAUCAGAGAACCUGAACCUGAGAUCCUAUGUUCAACCAAAUGGAUGCUGUUGAUGGGGACCUGACUUCAUCACCACUUGGCUGUCCUCUUCACAUUUUACUAUACACUGUUGAAUAUCAUGAGGAAAUGACGACAUCGCUGGAGUCUGUUCAAAAGUAGCUGUCAUUCAAUUUGAUGAAGAACACAAAGCAGCAGUGCAAAGUCUUUUGACCCAGCGGACUUGUGUUACAAAGUGAACCGAGGUGGGCUUUUGAACUCUUUACAGACAACUACACAUCCACAAACACCAUUUUAAAAACUCUAUGGACACCUGCCUACCCUGGUGACAUGACAUGAUCUCCUACAGUUGCAUAUCCAUGUUCAGAUUAACCAAGAGUAUUUUGUUUGAAGGAAAUUAGUGUCUAGUAUAUUGUCAAGUUCAGUGAUUUGAUUUUCUUUUUACUUGUAGUGGGCUUAAGAAAUUACAUCAGUUUUUUUUUGAUGAAGAUUUGUUUAACUGUGGUUACAGAUUUAAACAAGCUUUUUACAUAUUGGAUUUUUAAUGUUGUCUUUGUAACAUUUGCUAAUGUUUGUAAUAUAUAUAUUUGAAAACUUUGUUGACCUUUUGAGUUACAGAAUGAUUUUAGAGGACAGAAAGUUGGUGCUGUGUUUAUAUUUACAGUAACUUAACUGGCAGCA